rnacentral:lncRNA from 1 species
AUUCAAACUGUCCAGGUGACUGACCCAGACCCCAGGAGAGAUGGCAAGGGAUGAAGUUAACUGAUAGGCAGGGCCUGUCCUUACUUAUGCAAGUCCUUGCAAGCCAUGUUAGGAGUACGGAAUUUCAUCCUCAGAGCAAUGGGAAGCCUUCAAAAUGUUUUCAGCAGGAAGUAGAUAUGGGAGGGUGAGAGAUAGAUACAUCAGAGGAGUUAUUUAAAAGAUCUCUCUGUUUACAGUUUGGAGAAUGGACUGGGUGGCACCCAAGUGGGGCCCAAGUGGAUGUGGAAGGUCAAGCAGAGGCCAGGGUAGUAGCCCUGUGAGAAAGCAUGGUGGCUUUGUCAUUGGAAUUUGCGGCCAGAUUCGUGAUUGGUUGGAUGGAAGUGGUGAGAGAGAGGGAGGGAGGAGUAAAGGAUGACUCCCCGGCAACUUCCUGACCGCAGGCAUCACUCCCCGGGUCACAAACACUGCAGCAGGACCAGGCUCGGGAGUGGUAAUCACGCUAGGUAAUUUUGGCCAGGUUGCACCUGGGGUAGCUCUGCGACAUCCAAGUGGAGAUGUCAUGUAGGCAGGAGGAUAAUGAGUCCAGAGCUCAGAGCAGACGUCUAGUCUGGGGAAGUAAAUUUGAAAGUCAUGAGAACAUACCUGGUAACUGAAGUGAUGUGCACCGAUGAGGUUGCUUAGGGAGAGAAUGUAAAGUGAGACAUGAAAAGGGCUGACGGCUGAGUCUUGAGAAACUGCAGCCUUUGAAGUUGGGAGGAGGGUAAGCUGUCAAAAGAGCCUUAAAGAAGCAGCGGGAGGAAGAAGAGAACCAGGAGAGUGCAUCACAGAGGCCAAGGGACGAGUGCCGGCUGGGCCUCGGCGCUAGUGGCUCUUUAGAACUUGGGCACCCACGUACCGCCCUGCAGCGUGUGGCUUCCUUUAUAUUUCCACAGUGUCUUCAACAUCUGCCUCUUUACAAGAUAUUUUGCUUCUGACAAGCUCAAUUUUACUUGCCUUUACGUAGAAUAUACACCUACAGAAGACCCCUCCAUUUGGGCAAUUUAAACCCAGCUGUCAGCAAGUUCACCGAUUAGAGUCCCGUUUAUGAAACUGUUGAGUGCUUCUGAGAAGAGAAAUAAAAAAGAGAGGGGAAAGGCAAGAAGGCAAAGGAAAAAAGGAAAAGCCACUGUUUAUUGAGCAUCUACUCUGUGCUGUUCCACAUGCUUGUCUAACCCUUUCAAAGUGGCGCAAAUGACUCUUACUCUCCUCAUUUUAAAGGCUCGGAGACGUUAAAUAAUUUGAGCAAAGCCACAAAGAUAGUGCCUUGUGUAUGGAGAGCCAAAUCGCCAACUUAUACCUAUCUAUUUGGAAAAUGUUUUUCUAGGGCAGUCCCUCGCAGGAGGUUCAUGUGUGCUUGUGAAACGCAAGCACAUUAUCUCAGAGGCAAAACAGCUACAGGAAAGGAGGAAGAGUCCAAUGUGACAGAGAAAAGGUAAUCUUUGACAGCAAUGUCUAAACAUGACUCUGACGAAUGACCCCCUGAAUAGAUGUGCUCCUUUUGCCUUGUUUAAUGAUAUUGGUGGAUUGAAGUUUAGUGGAAAUAGCUGUGGUGUGAUGGAUUUAUUAGUGGCAAUUACAGAUAAUCAUUGUUGGCAGUGUCAUCUUGACUCUCAAUGAUAGCGUCUGUGACAGGUGGGAGUGAGGCUGCAGAAUGAAACAGAGGGGGAAUCACCGGAAAGCAUCCUCCAUCUGCCUGGGAAGACCUGCAUCAGGCCUGAAAGUGAUAUCGUGGGAACCAACAGAGGACUUGGAAAUCGGAAGAGAUGAGAAUACGGAGACCCCUCUCCAGUGAAUUUCUGCACCGGUCGCUUUGCUCAGCUUUCCCUCCUGUUCCUGAAACGUCUUCCUCAUUCCUCUCAGCCUCUCUAAAUUCUCCAAAUGCUUCAAGUUUCACUAAUUCCCUUAUAAGGCUUAUAGAAUUUCCCACAUGGACCCUCAGUAGGUUAAAAUUUCCAAGAGCACAAAGAACACUUUUGAUUGUGUUCUUCCUCAUUUCCCCACUGUCUAGCACUGUACUUAGCGUUUGUCAGACGCUUAAAAUAUACGUGCUGAAUGAGUUGAUGGCUUUGAAUGACUGGGGGAAUUUUGGGUCCUUCACUCAUCUCAAGUAAACUGUGAAUCAUCAGAAAGAAUAGAAGGAAAAGAGAUUCAUUCUUCUCAAAACACACACCGUCUGUACCACAUAAUUUAGCAAUUAAUUAUGAUUAAUUUAGCAAUUAAAAUGAGCAAUUUAAUGCUCAUUUUGACAGUACAAAGAACCGGCAGCAUUUGUUUCCAUGUCACUUUAAGAACAUUUCCAGCUCAACUGACUGACUUAGGAGGAAUAAUAAUCACAAGUGACAGUGUCCAUGACGGCCUCCACCCAAAAACAUAAAGCGGACUAUUGUGUUCUUGCAGAUAUGAUACGCU